UACGGGGGGAGCAAGCGUUGUUCGGAUUUACUGGGCGUAAAGGGCGCGUAGGCGGCGCAACAAGUCACUUGUGAAAUCUCCGGGCUUAACCCGGAGCGGUCAAGUGAUACUGUCGUGCUAGAGUGCGGAAGGGGCUACUGGAAUUCUCGGUGUAGCGGUGAAAUGCGUAGAUAUCGAGAGGAACACCAGUGGCGAAGGCGACUACCUGGCCUGCUUCUUGACGCUGGAGGCGCGAAAGCUAGGGGAGCAAACGGG
rnacentral:rRNA from 1 species